GUCUCGGUAGUGUAAGGGAUAGAGCAUGGUGCUCAAAAAACACAGGUACGGGUUCGAGUCCCGUCCAAGACU
rnacentral:tRNA from 1 species